GCUAUACAUGAAAAUUUGCUAAAUUACCAGAAACUCAGAAAAAGGCUUAAGAAAUUGAAAAGGAGGUCUUAAAAACAGGGUGGACAGGGUAUGGGAACACAUGAGAUGGAAGGAGAAGAGGGAAUUUCCGUGGCAGAAAAGGAACAGGAGCUGAGAAUGGAUUCCAGAGCUGCCUCCCACGUGCUCAGCAGGCCCUGGCUCUGCACAGCCAGAGCCCCAGUCCCAGAAGACCCUUUCUUGGCAAUGCUUCAGGAAGAGUACAUUUGAGUUUGGAAUCAGUUGGUCGUUGACUCUGUUAGAACCUCUCCAGAAAACUCUUCUGGUCCUGGGAUUUUCUUUAUUGCAGUUUUAAAGAGGAUUCUGUUAUCUUAGUGAACAUGGGAUAGUUCUGCUCUUUCAAGAGUUCUGGUUUUUCAUAAGUGUCAAUAAUUUAACUAUUUUAGGAAAUUUGUCAUUUUUCCCUAUUUUUUUAUUUUAUUGGCAAAACGUCAUUGUUAGCUUUUACUAGUUGUGACCAUUAUUGUUCCUAAUAUCCUAGCUUUUCUAUUUGUUUCAGACUGAUUUUUGUAAAACAAGUUCAUCAAGGUACACUGUUUUUCAACCUCGUUACUAUUUCUGCGUAUCUUUAUCAUUUUGCUUUUGCUUAUUGCUUUACUUUUAGUGUCCAUUUUUCUUUUUUAAGACUAACUAUUUUAUUUUUAGUUAUGUGUAUUGUGUGUGCCUGUGUGAAAUCCCAAAAGCAUAUAGGUGUCCUGCGUGGCCAGAAGAGGUUAUUGAAUCCCCUGGUAUGAGUCACCUAGCGGUAAGUCCUGGCUUUGGUCCUCCAUGAGCACAGGCACAUGCUCUUAGCCACUGAGCCAUCCCUCCAGUCUCUCAUAGACUUUGAUUUGUAUAAAUCUAGGUUUAAUUUUUGGUUCAUUGAAAGAAAAGAAAACCUUCCUUUUUCUAUGGUGAUUUUUUUUUCUACAGAUUUUUUUUUCAUACCCUUUCUCUAUAGUUACAAAUUUUGCUUUGUAAUUUUUGUUAUUUUAAUUUUUAAAUAUGAUUUUACCUUUGAUCUAUGAAUUAUGUAGAAGUGGUAUUUUAAUUUUUCCAAAUGGCCGUAAACAAAACUAUCACUGGGACUGGAGCAAUGCCUCAGUGGUUAAGAGCACUGCUUUCCUUCCAGAGGCUUCAAGUUGGUGCCACCCACAUGGUGGUUUACAACUACCUGGGAUUCCAGUCCGGGGGAUCCAACACCCUCUUCUGGUCUCCAUGGGUAUCAGGUAUGCAUGCUGUGCAAAGUAUUACAUGAAGACAAAGCACCCAUACUCUUAAAUAAAUACAUAUAUAAAUAAAGGCGUAAAUAAAUAGUUUACAAUAAUGACUACUGAUAUUUAAUUUAAUCAAACCAGACAAUUCAGAUAAUGAUAGAAUUCUUCAAAAAUUUAUUGAGACACUUCUGUAAGAUCAGUUUUUGUAAUAGUCUGUAUGUGUUUGAGUGCAAUAUUUAUUCCCAGCUGUGUUUUAUGCAUUCACACUACUAUACAGAGAUCAUUUGUUCUGUUCUUCAAAUAUUCUGUAUACACGAGGGUUGGCUGUCUGUUUAGUCUCCAAUGAACCAAGGAGAGAGAGAUGAAAACCUUUGCUAUCUGUUUACUAAAUUUGAAAGGACAAAUUUAUUAAAUUUAGUACCUCCUGUUUUGUGAUUUUUUAAAAAAAAUGUUUUAUAUGCAUUUCAUUGUGUGUUUUAUUAUUUACAUGAAUGUUUAAAGUUUCAUGUCUUUCUGGAAAACGGAUUGUUUAUUAAUAUGCAGAGACCUCCAUUGACACAACUUUCCCCUAAAGCCUAUUUUUUGCCUGGCAUCAAUUCAGAGGCACUGCAUGUCUUCUGGUCGGGGCAUCCCUGAUGAAUAUUUUCCUGUCCAUUUACUUUUAAGUCUUCUGUGUAAUUUAUAAAUAUGCUGUCCAUAAGUUCCAUUUCAGAUAGGAAUUUUAAAAACUAUAUUGUUCUCUUUUCAUCUUCCAAUCAGAUAUGCUGGUCACAUUGCUAAUAUACAUUUGAUUAUAUACACUUACAUAAAUUCACUUAUAUUGAGUGCAUUGCUGAUACAUU
rnacentral:lncRNA from 1 species